rnacentral:rRNA from 1 species
GACGAACGCUGGCGGCGUGCUUAACACAUGCAAGUCGAACGAUGAAGCACAGCUUGCUGGGUGGAUUAGUGGCGAACGGGUGAGUAACACGUGAGCAACGUGCCCGCGACUCUGGAAUAACUACCGGAAACGGUGGCUAAUACUGGAUAUGUGCUAGGGAGGCAUCUCCUCUGGUUGGAAAGAUUUUUCGGUUUCGGAUCGGCUCACGGCCUAUCAGCUUGUUUGUGGGGUAAUGGCCUACCAAGGCGACGACGGGUAGCCGGCCUGGGAGGGUGACCGGCCACACUGGGACUGAGACACGGCGCAGACGCCUACGGGAGGCAGCAGUGGGGAAUAUUGCACAAUGGGCGCAAGCCUGAUGCAGCAACGCCGCGUGAGGGAUGACGGCCUUCGGGUUGUAAACCUCUUUUAGUAGGGAAGAAGCGCAAGUGACGGUACCUGCAGAAAAAGCACCGGCUAACUACGUG